GUGCUUGCUUUGGCAGUCCAUAUACUAAAAUCGGAACACUGCAGAGAAGAUUAACAUGGCCUCUGUGCAAGGGUCACACACAAAGUCAUGAAGCAUUCCAUAUUUUU